UACGUAAGCGUUGAUCCAGAGAUUUCCGAAUGGGGGAACCCACUAUCUUUAGUCGGAUAGUAUCCUUACGUGAAUACAUAGCGUGAGGAAGGCAGACCCAGGGAACUGAAACAUCUAAGUACCUGGAGGAAGAGAAAGAAAAAUCGAUUUCCUGAGUAGCGGCGAGCGAAACGGAAAGAGCCCAAACCAAGAAGCUUGCUUCUU
rnacentral:rRNA from 1 species